rnacentral:misc_RNA from 1 species
CCGACGUGCGCGGACGCGAAGCGAUUCUCAAAGUCCACGCGCGCAAUGUGAAGUUGGAUCCGUCCGUCGAUUUGUCGGUCACCGCUCGCGGCACACCUGGGUAUUCCGGCGCGGAAUUGGCGAACUUGUUGAACGAAGCCGCAUUGCUUGCUGCUCGCACCGGCAAAAAAGCCGUGGGCAUGGCGGAACUCGAAGAAGCACGCGACAAAGUGCGCUGGGGCCGCGAACGCCGCAGCCUCGCCAUGACGGACGAAAACAAGAAGCUCACCGCCUGGCACGAAGCCGGCCAUGCGCUGGUGAACGUGAUGCUCAAGCACACGCAUCCGCUGCACAAGGUGACGAUCAUUCCGCGCGGACCCUCGCUCGGCUCAACGAUGUCGCUGCCGAAGGAAGACAUCCUCAAUUACAAGAAGAAGGAGCUGGAGGACAUGAUCGCGAUGACGAUGGCGGGACGCAUCGCGGAGGAAAUCGUUUCCGGCGACAUCUCAACCGGCGCGGGCGGCGACAUUCAGCAGGCCACAAACAUGGCGCGGGCAAUGGUUUGCCAGUAUGGCAUGAGCGACAAGCUCGGCAUGGUGCAGCUCACCGAGGACGACGAGUAUUUCCUCGGUCGCGACAUGAUGCGCCGCAAAUCCUAUAGCGAAGCGACCGCGCAGGAAAUCGACGGUGAAGUGCGGGCGUUCAUCAAGGCGCAGUUCGACCGUGCGCAUGAUCUUAUUCACAGCAACCGCGACAAACUGGAGUUGAUCGCGAAUUCCCUGCUCGAAUACGAAACGCUCGAUGGCGCGCAGGUGGAAGAAAUUGUGCGGACCGGAAAAUUCACCCCGCCGCCGCCGCCGCCGCCAAACAUCGAGCCGCCGAUGGGUGCCCAAGCGGCCACGCCUCUGCCUGAAGUAAUGAAGCCGGCGUCGC